ACCUUAUCAAGAGAGGCGGAGGGAAUGGGCCCUAUGAAACCCGGCAACCGGCAGAAUUGUAUCGGUGCCAAUUCCUACAGGAUGUAAAAGUCCUGACAGAUGAGGA
rnacentral:ncRNA from 21 species